UACGACUACAUAUCAGGCAUAUCAAUAAGCGGAGGAAAAGAAACUAACUAGGAUUCCCUUAGUAACGGCGAGUGAAGCGGGAAGAGCUCAAAUUUGAAAUCUUCAAGGUUCUACCUUGACGAAUUGUAGUUUAAAGAAGUGUUUUCUGUUGGAGUUUUGGUAAAAGUUCUUUGGAAUAGGACAUCAUAGAGGGUGAGAAUCCCGUAUUUGACCAUUUCUUCCAGCUGUGUGAUACACUUUCAAAGAGUCGGAUUGUUUGGGAAUGCAGUCCAAAAUGGGUGGUAAAUUUCAUCUAAAGCUAAAUAUUGGCGAGAGACCGAUAGCGAACAAGUACCGUGAGGGAAAGAUGAAAAGAACUUUGAAAAGAGAGUUAAACAGUACGUGAAAUUGUCAAAAGGGAAGCGUUUGACACCAGUGUUGUUUUCUCGAAAAUCAAUUAAAAAUGACCGGAUUUUGUGUUGUAUUGACUUUAUCAGCUUUCUGCACUUUUUUCUUGUCUUUUUUAAUGCACUUUUCGUUUAACAAGUCAACAUCAAUUUCUUUUGUUGUGAAAGAGGUCAUUGGAAGGUGGCUUUUCACUUCGGGAAAAGUGUUUAUAGCCUUUGACUUCUGCAAUCGGAGAGAUUGAGGUCUGCAGCGUAGAUCCUUCGGGGUUAGAUACAUUUGUGCUAAGUUAUAGUUUUUCAUAGACAACAUGUUGACUAUGAUUAAUCAUGUAGCUUACUCGCUUAUGCUAUUUUACCUACGCUUAGGAUGUUGAAUCUGUGCGAGACUAC
rnacentral:rRNA from 1 species